rnacentral:misc_RNA from 1 species
UUGUGGAGGAGGACGCCGAAGGUGGGGCUAAUGACUGGGGUGAAGUCGUAACAAGGUAGCCGUACCGGAAGGUGCGGCUGGAUCACCUCCUAACAGGGAGACAACAAAAUGUUUAAUAUUAAUUUUGUCACCUUAGGUCGAUCGGUAUCUCACAUUCUUAAAUUAAUUAAGGAUUUCAUUUCCUAAGUUUUUUCUAGGUCACACCCAUUACUUUUCCUGGGCCAUUAGCUCAGGUGGUUAGAGCGCACCCCUGAUAAGGGUGAGGUCCCUGGUUCAAGUCCAGGAUGGCCCAUAUCUCUAUGUUGGGGGUAUAGCUCAGUUGGUAGAGCGCCUGCUUUGCAAGCAGGAUGUCAGCGGUUCGAGUCCGCUUACCUCCACUGUUCACCACCUCUUACAUAAAUUUAAGGAAAUGUUUUGAGUUGUGAUCAAAUUCUGAACGAAUCUAGCUUCCUAAUAAAAACUAUUAAGAUGCUGGAUUCAUUGAAUUAAUUUCAGUGAAUUCAGAGAACCUUGACAACUGCAUAGAUUAUUUUUAAAGACAAUAAGCAUCUUUAAUGAUGCAGAUUUAUUAUUUUUGCAAAUGCAUUAAUAACAAUUCUAUUAAGCUGAUGCUUCAAUUUUGAAGUUAUUGGUCAAGCUACAA